GGCUCGCUGGAGCAGUGGGUGCUGUCGCCGCAGCCGCUGGCGCUGCUGGUGCUGGCCAAGGUGCUGGCGCACUGGAUCUUUUCCGGGCUGGCGC
rnacentral:tRNA from 2 species